GGCGGAUGUAGCCAAGUGGAUCAAGGCAGUGGAUUUGUGA
rnacentral:tRNA from 85 species